rnacentral:lncRNA from 1 species
GGGUUAUUAAGAAAAGGUUAAGAUAAAAUGUUAAGCUUGUUUUACGUAGACAAUUAGAUGGUUUUCAAGAGAAUAAACUUCUAUAUAUAUUCAUUCUGUAAUAUAAUAGAUAAUUUGCCAAUUUUCCAGGUUGUACUGAAAAAUGCCUCUAAAAAUUGGUUUUCAAAGGUUGUAAAAAUUAGCACCAGUAAUGCAAGUCUAAGAUAGCAAUUUAUAUUGUUCGGCAUUUUUUCACCCUUUCAAAUAAACCCAACAUCAAGUAAAUCCCUCAUAAGUUAGUUUACUUUUCUCUAUAUUUCAUUGGUAACAGGAACGUACGUUUCUGAUAUAUUACUAUAUAAAAGUCUAUCCUGUUACCUUUUUGUCUAUCCUGUUACCGAUAUCAGUAUUGCACCUGCGAAUGCUUAAUUGGGAAGAUUAAGACGUUAUAACCUGAAGAUGACUUCAAACAACGAAAUAUUUCAUUCGUUUUGCACCUAUAUGUUAAGAUAAAAAAAUUAACGACGUUUUUGUCUACAAUUGUCUAUGCUGUUACUGUAACCAUAGCAACCAUAGUAACAGGAUAGACAUAACAGGAUAGACAAAUUUCUUCGUUUUUGAUUGCUGUUGUGAAAUAACUACUCCCUUUGGAGAAGUGAUUAUGUUUUUCUAUUGUGAAUUUGGUUUCCAACACGUUAUUGCACUUUUUACAAAUAUACUGUUGGUGUAUUUAAUCAAAAUUGGUGGUAACAGCAUAGACAUAAAAAAAGUACGCUAUAUUUUUUUCACUAAAUGUCUUGAAAUUUCUUUUCUCUACACUGUCGUUCAAGAAACGAGGCGUUUUAAAUGUAAAGAUUACUUUGCACUUUUGAAAUCAACACUGACUGAUUCAAUAUUCAUAGGGAGAUUAAUUUCACGGCUGAUAUAAGUAGCGGUAACAGGAAAGACAUGAACCUCCUGUACGCAGAUUCAAUUUAGUUUGUAGAUAAUAUGUUACAUACAGUGAUAUAGAAGCUACGAAUUUUCGUUAGAAUAAUAUUUAACGUUCUUAAAAAGUCCCUUUUGUAGAUAUCAAGGCGAUCAGAAAAUCGCAAAAAAAAUCAUUUGAAAUGUGUUUUUCUGACACUGUACGCAGACAAAUACCCCCAAAAUGGGUCUUAAAUGCAGUUUAAUCUUAUCAAAAUAGAUGUAAGGUGUGUUUAUUAUUAAUGUUCUGAAUCACAAAUCCGACAAGCUUUCAUUUAAACCAUUACAACUGAAAUUUCCAUUAGAAAUAAAAAAGUUAGCAUGGGUGUACUGAAAAUUCGACAUUUUUUGAAAACGACCCAUAUCAUAUAAG